UACGGGGGGGGGCAAGCGUUGUUCGGAAUUACUGGGCGUAAAGGGCUUGUGGGCGGCCAACUAAGUCCGACGUGAAAUCCCCAGGCUUAACCUGGGAACUGCGUCGGAUACUGGAUGGCUUGAAUUCGGGAGAGGGAUGCAGAAUUCCAGGUGUAGCGGUGAAAUGCGUAGAUAUCUGGAGGAAUACCGGUGGCGAAGGCGGCAUCCUGGACCGACAUUGACGCUGAGGAGCGAAAGCUAGGGGAGCAAACGGGG
rnacentral:rRNA from 1 species